ACUUACGACCAUAUCACCCUGAAUGCGCCCGAUCUCGUCUGAUCUCGGAAGCUAAGCAUGGUCGAGCCUGGUUAGAACUUGGAUGGGAGACUGCCUGGGAAUACCAGGUGUUGUAGGCU
rnacentral:rRNA from 1 species